CUGUCAGUGACAGCAGCCAAAGCCAAUGUUUCCCGUGACCUGCAAGAAACGCCUUCGGGUGGUCACAUGCCAAUGUCAUUGUGGUCUGCAACUGACGCCUUCGGGUGACCGCGCUAUGCCGUAAAAACAACG
rnacentral:sRNA from 1 species